GUAGGGAAUAUUGGUAAUCUGGGAAACCGGGAACCAGCAACGCCGCGUGCGCGAUGAAGGCCUUCGGGUUGUAAAGCGCUUUUUAAAGGGAUGAGGAAGGACAGUACCUUUAGAAUAAGCCUCGGCUAACUACGUGCCAGCAGCCGCGGUAAAACGUAGGAGGCGAGCGUUAUCCGGAUUUACUGGGCGUAAAGCGUGUGCAGGCGGUUUGAUAAGUUGGAUGUGAAAGCUCCUGGCUUAACCGGGAGAGGUCGUUCAAAACUAUCAGACUAGAGAGUGGUAGAGGGAGAUGGAAUUCCGCGUGUAGUGGUGAAAUGCGUAGAUAUGCGGAGGAACACCAGUGGCGAAAGCGGUCUCCUGGCCCAUUUCUGACGCUCAGACACGAAAGCUAAGGUAGCAAACGGGAUUAGAAACCCCAGUAGUCC
rnacentral:rRNA from 1 species